GGGCCCGCACAAGCGGUGGAGCAUGUGGUUCAAUUCGAAGCAACGCGAAGAACCUUACCUGGGUUCGAAAUGCAGAUGUAAAUCUCAGAGAUGAGGUCCCCUCUUCGGAGGCAUCUGUAUAGGUGCUGCAUGGCUGUCGUCAGCUCGUGUCGUGAGAUGUUGGGUUAAGUCCCGCAACGAGCGCAACCCUUGUCCAUAGUUACUAACGCGUAGUGGCGAGAACUCUAUGGAGACUGCCGGUGAUAAACCGGAGGAAGGUGGGGAUGACGUCAAGUCCUCAUGGCCUUUAUGUCCAGGGCUACACACGUGCUACAAUGGGCGGUACAAAGAGUUGCGAUCCCGCAAGGGGGAGCUAAUCUCAAAAAGCCGCUCUCAGUUCGGAUUGUUCUCUGCAACUCGAGAGCAUGAAGCUGGAAUCGCUAGUAAUCGCGGAUCAGCACGCCGCGGUGAAUACGUUCCCGGGCCUU
rnacentral:rRNA from 1 species